rnacentral:lncRNA from 1 species
AGAGCCUGGAGAAAGUUCUUCUGGAAUUCAGUCAUAAGGAAUUAUUUGAUUUCUAUAACAAGGAACGCGGUUAUGCUUUGGCGAUAGAGCACAGUAAUUUUCCAAAUGAUUGGAGAAAGGAGUGACUCAUACAUCCCAGGCCACGUGCUCGACUCUGCCGUCCAGCCUCUCGCUCUCUUACAUGCUGAUGCAAAACCAUCAGAAACCUCAGAUUUGCAAGAGUACAUUUCAAAUGGCUAUCGCCAAAUGCAUUGGUAAACCCCACCACCACCACCACCAGGUAACAGCCACCUCUCUUCUGGGGAGGAUCGCCUCAGGUCACCGAUCCUUUCGUUCACCAAGCAGGAGUGGCACGUACACUGAUUAAAAGCCUGGUCACCUGCUAGAGAACCAGAUUUCUCCCCUCCAGAAUGCUAGAGCAAGUUCUCCCACUGCCGUGAGAUUUAUGGUGAUCGCAAACUUGACCUAGACAUGCUUCUGGUACUAAUGCCGCAAACACCGAAAAAACUUACGUUCCUACCAAACUCAGAGGUGCUAAUGCGACAGGAUCAAAUGGAGUGCUCCAGAAAGAUAGCUGCAACAUUCUAACGUUGAGAUGUAUGUUAAGUAUGUAUAGAUUUCAUGAGCUCAUUACCCAGAUUUCAGUUUCCUGUUGAAGAAGUGGUCUUGAUUAAUCAAGGCACACAGAUACACACUGCCCACAACAAGGCUUUCUCACUGAUGUGGGUAGUUUGACGAUGACACAGAUUGUUCCAAGUUAUCCCAAACAUACAGGCUGGAUAAAAAUCUGAAAAAGUUCACACGCGUAAUGCAGAAUGCAAGCAAGAUGCAGAGAGCCAUGCAGAAAACUGUUCAAUAACACUUUUAAAUUAAAAUUGAGUUAGUAUUUUAAAUUAAAAUUAAAAUUUUCACUAGGUUACCAAGACUGUAUAUUUUUAUUUUUUUUGCUUUUUAUUUUUUCCUUUUUCAGCCACUCCCAUGGCAUAUGGAAGUGCUCAGGCCAGGGACUGAAUCUAAGCCACAGCUGUAGAAACACCUGGGCCUUAACCCACUGCUCCACAGCAGGAGCUCUUAGGACUGUGUUAAGAUGUAGAGUCCACUGUGAGAGAUCAGUUUGUUUUUGAUAUAAAUGAUGAUUUAUAAUAUCUAACUUCCACCUCAUGGCAGUAAAGAUCCUCUCUGUCAGAGUUUACUGUAAAAGCGUGUUCCGUACCUUUCUUGUGUGAUCUAAAAUAACUCGAAUAGUAAUAACUCGUCAUCCAGUUUGGGUGCAUCAGCUUUCUGGACUUGAAAAUUACUCAACACAGUUGUUCCUCACUCAGCAGGCUUGAGGGACUCUGGGAGUGGCCACCUCUUCUAGGUGUGCUAUUAUCCUCCCUGGUAGGUUUGGCUCAGCAGUCUUAGAAAGUUCCACUGGGCAGACUUAGAUGUGUUGAUGGAGUCCCUGAGCCGAUGGGUCAGCAGAGUGUGACUGCCCUGUGUUGUGUUAUUGCUUCAGGUACUCAAUGAGAAUUUGCUCACAUGUUCUGAUUUUACAGUGCUGUGCUUUCCUCUGCAGGCUCCAGGAACCCCUCCUCCCAUCUUUCAUUUUCCUGGAUUAUUUUCUUUGGGUCCAUAAAUUCAUUCCUUGGGAGUUUCUGUUGUGGCUCAGUGCUUAAUGAACCCGACUAAGAUCCAUGAGGAUGCGGGUUUGAUCCCUGGCCUUGCUCAGUGGGUUAAGGAUCCAGCAUUGCCAUGAGAUGUGGUGUAGGUUGCAGACAAGGUUCGGAUCCUGCCUUGCUGUGGCUGUGGCAUAGCCUGGUAGCUGUAGCUCCGAUUCAACCCCUAGCCUGGGAACUUCCAUAUGCCAUGGGGUGUGACCCUGAAAAAACAAAAAAUGCAUUCCUAUAAAUGCCUUUAUACUUUAGGAUCUCUUCUUUUUAGGUUUCAUAUUCAGUUACAUUUGUAAUCAGCAUAGUCACAAUUAAAUUUUUAUUCUUAGAUUUAGCUUUAUAGUUUAUGCUGGGGGAUCCAGGAUUACAAAACUAUUGACUUAAAAAGGUGACACCUCGAAAAAUCAGAUUUUUCUUUCUAUAGAAUCAUUUUUUUUAGAAGACAAUCCUCCUAUAAUUAAAUAAUUAUUCCCCUUUCCAUCAGCUUCCUAAGACUAAAUUUUAUGUGUUUUGCUUUACUAAAGAAGCCACCUCUAUUUCAUAAGCGUCUCUGUAUAGGCUUUCAAAUAGAACAUGUUUGUGGGGAGAGGGUGAAUGUUUUACAGGGAAAGAAAUGUUUCUGUUCCUCUGCUUUCUUUGUGUUGUCUCCCUUUCCAGCUCCCCCCAUCUCGUAAGGGAGAAUGCUCAGCCAUUCCUUUUGGUCAGUUAUAAAAUAUUGAUUGAUUGAUGUUUACGGAUGGGCAGAGUGCUAUAAAAAGACUGUUCAUGCAUGGUGAUCCUCCCUCGAACUUCCUGCUUUCACUGCAUGAGUUGGGAAAGAGGGCCUAGUCAUCUUUCUCUGCCUCAGCAAAGCAUCAGCACUUUAGUUCUGUGCCAUGUGGCUGGCAGGGAUGAGUGAUGGUCCAGAAUUUGAGCUGAAGCUGAGAUGUGUAAGGAAGAAGGGAAAGGUAAUAAUAAAGUGUUACUUUGUUUCUCAACUGCUAUCAUCCUUUCUGUAUGUAGCUUCCUUGGGAAUGUCAAUUGUUGAAGAGUGACAGGCAACACAAGAUUUGGGGGUUUUCUAGUCAAGUGCCAUUAAAUGCACUCACAAUUUCCCCUCUGUCCUCUAUAAAUAAUAGCAAAUGUGUCUUACUUUUCAGUGGUGAACAUGUGUAGAGACUAUGGACAAAAAUACCAGAGUCAUCAUUCUUACCUCUCAACUCUCAAAUGGGCGGGAGUAAGAGAAGGAGGCUUUAAAAAUCAAUGACUGACUUUGUCUGAGGACCCCAUUCCUGAUAAGCAAAAUCUCCACUUCUCUGAAAACAGAGGGGAGACAUUGCUGAGUCAAUUUCAAAGGCUGCAACAGACCAGUGAGACCAGGUCACCGGAAGGAUGGAAAUUCACCUCACAUGCACCUUCCUCUACAUUUCUGAGAACUUGAACUUCAGCUGCUCCCACCAGCUCCCUAUGAAGCUGAACAGGGAUGGAAUGUACCUUUGAUAGCCUGACAUGAUUCUGUCUUUUGACCGUUCGUUGACUUUGUGGAAGGAAAAGAACAAUUGAAAACAGGGCUCCUCUCUUUCCAGACUAAGCAUUUACAAUGCAAGACAACUAGGUAGGAAACUGAGAAGAGAGGAUGAGAUGUUUACUGACUGAUCAAGUUAGCCCCAUAUGCUCCAGUAACAGAUGUCCGAAGUACUUCAGGGCUGCCUUUGUGCUUCCUUUUCUAAAUGUGUGUAGUUAUCGGCCGGUAGAACUGAUUCACAUCUUACGAAACCCACAGAAUUUGCUUCAGGCAUGAGAACGACUGAAUUUAAGACUUCUUCCAUAUGGUAGUUUCACCCUGAAGUAUUUAACCCAUACCAGUGUGUUGCAUAUCAAAAGCAGAGCAACUUGAUUUUGCGAUGCCAAGUUGUUUCUGCUUCCAACAAUUAAACACUACCUUGCUCAAAUCUAUGAAAGUGCUCAUUGGCUGAACUUCAUCCACAAAAUGUGUUAUAGGCAGGACCAAAAAAAAAAAAA